AAUUGCUAUUCGAAUUUCUUCAUGGUCGGGUAAUGGAACAUCUGUUCCAUCGUCAUCGAUUGGGGGAUCGGGUUCGCCAUCUCCUGGUGUUGUACUCUCACUGCCAUUCAGCAGGUCGGAGAAGUGUUCCCUCCACGUUUUAAGCUUAUCGGGCUCAAAUUACAACUCACUGUUUGUGACAAGACUGUUAGACAUACAUUUUUACACGUUGUGCUCAGUCCCGAACUCCAUGUCUUCAACUUCUGUUUACAAAAAACCAUAUUCUAUAACUCUGUAACCACCAGAGGUUCAUGAAAUAUCAUCUUAUAUGCCUUCAAGCACAUUUUAUCUCGGCUAACCUCAAUAUAUAAGCACAAAACAGUAUUGAUGAAACACUAAUUUUUGUUGUUGCAUAGUAAGAUACAUACAUUUGUAAAAUAUAAAAGAAUUGGCCAGAAUUCGCAAACGAACAUAAUAUUGAAUAUAAUUGGUAGAACCAAAAACAAAACGCACAUAAAUAUAAUACUCAUUGAAAAAGAGGCAACAAUAGCAAAAGUGCAAUUUCAAACAAUAAUGACAUACAAAAACAACAACAAUGUUUUUAUACCAAAAUUUAACAGGCAAGAGUGUAAACAAGUUGAAACAUUUUUGAAAAUUUAAAACAAAAAUAAAAUUAUUAACAAUAGAAAGUAUAUAAGGCAGUAAGCACAUAGUUCAUAGUAUUAUAUAAAACAAAUUUAGUGUUACAAAUAUAUAUAUAAUUAUAUAAAUAAAUAAAUAUACUAAUGUAUGUGUGUAAUAUGUGCUUUAAGGCAUAUACAGUUAGUCAUUAUAUGAAUAUGCAAUGUAUACUGUUUCAAAUAUUUAUUAUAAAUAUUUAUUUAUUUUAGUUUAAAUAAUUAAGUACAAUAAUUUUCAUUGAACAUUUCAAAUGUUGUCGGUUGAUUGCAAUUGUUUUUUUUUUUAAUGUUAUAUUUUUGAAAAGUGUAUAUAAUAUUGUACUUAUUAACUAUUAUUGUCAGAUAGCAGAUGCAAUAUAUGGCAACAACAUACCAUAAGCCAUAAAUUAACUUGUAACUUCUGUCGUGUGUGGAAGGUGAAAUUUACUUCAAGUCUUCUCACUUGGUACUUGAUUAGUUUAAACUACUUAGAGACAGCUCUAAGUAUAUACAGAAGAAUGUAUAUAUAGUUAUUAAUUACAUAUUUUUGUAUGUACAUUUUCUUAGCAUCACACCGUACUGGUAUUAUUAUGGUAGUUUAAUGCUAGUUGAGGGCUUAUAUUUUCAACAUUUACUCUUUGCUUUGGAAAUUUUCAGCAAACUGAGCUUCCUACGACCAUACAUUUGUAUGUAUGUAUAGUAUUUCCAAAGAUUCCAAAGCCUUAUAUUUUAUUUUUUUGUAAGCUUUAAGAAGUUUUUAGAUUUUUUCUCACUGGGGAUUAGAAGAAACCGAGUUUUUACUGAAAUUCUUUUUCAAAUUUUCAAAUUUAUUUAUUUAUUAUUUAUUUAUUUAUUUUAAGAAUUUUAUUUUCCAAAAAUAUUGAAAAUUACAUAGUUAUGUGCUGUCAUCGGAGGUGCAAAAAAAAAAAUUCCUCAACGGGUGAGAUGAUUCCGACCAAAUGAGUAGCUGAAACAAAACAACUCGAAAAUGUUAUUAAAGUUGAAGAUAUUUCCUCUACAAUAACCUACAAUUUUUGAAAAUUUUCAAAAAUUAGCAAAAUGGCGUAGUUUUGAAAAAAGUUUAUUCAUAAUACGCACUUAAUGAUUUCUCGAGAUAUUUUUGAAUGUAUAAACUAUCGAAUAAGCAAAAUAAAAAAAAUCGAUUUUUUGAAAGUUUCACACUGGUAUAGCCAAGAAACAUCCAUGAUGUAUGCCAUUUGCCACCCAUAUUGUAUUAUUUUUUAUCAUUUUUAUAUUAUUAGGUCUACAACUUUGCCUCCUCCAUUUUUAUGUAAAUGUAAGGCUUUUUUUGUAUAAAAACGGUUACAAAUGUCGAUAAGCCUCAGUCGCACUUUUCUUGGAAUUAAAAACGAAAAGCAAAAUUCUCCGCAAAUGUCGAGAAUUCGGCUCAAAAAGUGACAUUUUCAGUUGAGAAUAAGUUUGGAAUGCAAACAGAUCUCUACAAAUAUUUUGUUGGGUUAAUGUUGACAAAAAUGUCCAAGAUCGAUAUAAAACGAUGUAAUCGAUUUAGCAAAGUUGUAGACCUAAUAAUAUUUUGGAUUUAUAAAUUAGUUGGCAACACUUUUCAAGAAUAAAUUAAAGAGGUGCCAACACUUCUAAAAAAUCCUACAGCAAAUUUUCUUAAAACACUUUACUUGUAGUGAUACUUCAUUUUUUAUAUUUUUUCAAAUAAGUGGCAUCAUUCUAGUACUUAAAUCACUUCCAUCAUCAAAAAAUAUAAUUAAUUUUUUUUUCAAUUAUAGAAAUUUACUAUUGCGUAUAAUAAAAAAAAAUUUGGUUUCAGCACUACCCAGACAUCUGUCGAAUACUCUUAUCUUUGAAUGUGACUAGCCGCUUUAAAUAUUUGUAAAUAUGUCUCAAAAAAGUAUUAUGUUUACUUUAAGGUCAAAUUUGAUUCCAUUAACAUUCAUAUACACACACAUACAGUCUACUGUGGGUGCUACAGUUCUACAAUUAUUAUUAGUGUAAUGAAUGGAGAAUGGAGAUUCCAGCAGACUUUAUUGCUCAAAAGUAUUAAUUCAAAUCUGUUUAAUACUAGUAUUAUUGCAUAAAUUCGAUUAAGCUUAAUUUAAUUUAGAGCUAAUUUACUUAAUUAACUUUAAUUAAUGCGUGUAAUUUAAUGUGACAGCAUAAGUAAGCAAUUAUAUAACUUAAAUGUAUUUGUUAAGUGCGAUAAUUAGCAAAAAAAAUUACUUAAAUAUACUCAUUAAAAAGAAAUUUUGAAAUUGCAACCAGCUAAUUGGUGAACCCGUUAUAUUAGACGAAAAAUCAAAAAAAUUGUGUUUGGUAAAAUUUUUAUGCCCAAUAUUUUUAAAUAAAUAUGCGAAUUUUCGGAAAAUUAAUAUAAAUUAAAAAAUUGAGAAUCAAAUUAAAAUUUAAUAAAAAAAUAACAAAAAAAUUGAAAAUUAAUUAAAAAAAUUAAAAUUAAUUAAAAAAUUGAAAUUAAUUAAAAAAAUUAAAUUCAAUUAAAAAAUUAAACUCAAUUAAAAAUUAAAAUUGUUUUAAAUUACUAUUGUUUUAAACGCAAUUUGGCGAAAUUACACAAUUGUUGCAUUCGCACUGUGAAAUAAUUUAAUGAAUUUAAUUGAUAUGCGUGUUUGUAUGUAGAAAGCAAGGCAGUUAUGUAAUUGAUAUAACUUCAAAAAUUAUUUGAAAUGAGUGAGAGAAAUUGUGUAAAAAAAUAAAAAAAAAUAAUAAAUUUAAAUUUUCAAAUUUUUAAUUUGCAUGUCUAUAACUCAUCUAUGUACUAUGUAUGUAUAACUGUUUAAUUAAAUUUACUUAUAAUUACUGCAACUGUGUAAUUAGCAAACUUAGCAUUUAAAAUAUAUACAUACAUAUAUACUUAAAUGUAGGUGCACACACAUACAUACAUACAUAUUUAUAAAAAUAAAAUAAGAUUAUAUAGUACUCAUGCUAGUUGCGACAAUUUUCAGUGACAGUGCCAAAGUGACGCAACAACAACAACAUGAACAUUUAAGUAACAUACUAGAAAGUACACAUUUCCGAAAGUGCGGCAGUUAGAGUAUAAAAUUAGCUGGAAAUUAAAAUUAAAAAAAAAAUUAAUUAAUUAUAUAUUAUUAUGAAGCAAAUGUUUAGUUAGAGAUUUAUAUGAAAAAGCGUUAGCGUUUAACUUGCAAUGGGCGUUUUAAAUCCAUAGUUAUAAUUGCGUAGUAGUUUAGGCGACACACAGUCGCAGACAUGUGUACAUACAUACAUAUAUUGAAAUGGUGGCAUGCAACAAAGCGAAGCGGGAAUGGAAUUCCAUAGUUCAGUAAAUAAAAAAUAGAGUUUUAAGUGAAAAAUACUCACAACAGCUGUAGUUACAGGAAAGUAAUUAAUAAAUAAAUAUAUUAAUAUAUUAAUAAUUGUAUGAUUAAACUCUAAUGUUUACUUUAAAAAUUUGUAUUUUUUGUAGUUGUUUAGUUGUAUGUUUCAAAACCAAAAAAACAAAUGUUGAAAAUUGCAUAAACCAAAUAUAAAGAUAUAUAUAGGCAGAAAUAUAUAUAUCCAAUAUGACAAAAAAAUAUCAGAAUUAUUUAAUUGUAUACAUGUACGAAUGCCAUACAGUGUUGUACAAAAGUAUGUAUACAUUUGAAUUAGCUUACAAAAUAUUUAAUUUUAAGGCAGUAGUCUGCUUUACAGCCUUCAAAAAAUCGAUUUUUUUGUUUUAUUUUAAAUCUCUUCCAAAACUAUCCAAGAAUAUGUCUUUAAAAUUCCAGAGGCCAAUUCGACAUAUUUUCGAAGCUAGAGCAGUUUUAGUGGUCGAGCGUCGAGCAGGUGCGAAUGCUCACCGAAAACUUUAAAGCGCGUUUUCUUGAGUUUUCAUAAGGUCAUUCGGAGAAAAACUAACGAAGUUACAGGAGGUUGAAUAACGGUACCUCCAGCUAUCUGCGCUGAGUGUACAAAACUUUGAAUCGAUUUUCCCAAAUAUGUAAUUUUUAAAGUCGGUGACCAGGCUACAGAAAAAACUACUGCAUCGAUCGUUUUGAAAUUUAGAACAAAUAUUCUACAUAUACAUAUAUAACUUUCGAAUGAUUUUUUCCAAAAAUUUUAAUUACUAACAAUUUUACAAUAACAAAUAGGUCGAUUUUUUCGUCUAAAAUCGUCAUUUUGGCAUGAAAAUGGUAUCAAAAAUUGAAAAAUUUAAAAAUUAAAAAAAAAACUUGACGUCAAUUGAAAGAUAAACUAAUAAACUAAAGAAAGCCUUUUGAUUUUUUGGUUUCGGAUGAUCCAGUGAUGCACCCCCACACCCCCCCCUAAAAAAAAAACGGUGCCGGCGAUAGCAAAAAUAAUAUAUGUCCGAUCGAAAAAAGUGAUCUAGCUUCAGUAUUUAAUUAUCUUCUAUUUGAACUAGACAGUUGGACAAAAGUAUUAUUUAAACUACUUGUUUUGCAACUUAAAGUCAAUUUUUUUUCUUAAAAAAUUGAAAUUUUUUUCACACUUCGAAAAAAAUUGGAAUUUUAUAUGUAAGUUCUUUGGUAUUUUUGUAGUUCAUAAAGAAAAGAAACGUAUAAAAAUUAAAAAAAAAAAUUUGGUUCGACUGUUUCGGAUGCAUCGCACGACCUCCAUCACCGGCACUCCAGAAAAAUACUUACAACUUUGAAAAAAUUUCAAUAUUUCUUAAUAAUAAAUACUGUUUUUUAAGGCUUAAAUAUAGUACACUAUCGUCUUAAAAUUCCGUUUACAGCAAUCAUUUCCUUCCCUUUCAAAACAAAUUGCUAAAAAAAACGAUUUUUUCGGCUUCUAAAGCAGUCUACUGCCUUAAGAGGCUCUUAUUGUCCUCGAUAAGUGCUAUUCUUUCAACUUCAAUUGACAUAGGAGCCUUCGAAAUCAUAUUAAACUUUUUAAAAACAUUAUUAUCAAUUACUGGAUAUAAGUAACUACUAAAAAAUACAAAAUAUAGUUAAAAUCUAAAUUUUCCUCUUAAUUUAAUGGCGUAUAAAACAUUCCGGUCAAGCUUAUAAGCAAGAGGCUAUAAGGGCCAAAGUUUCAUCUUCGAAAAACUAUUGUAUUAAUAUGGAAAUUUAGUUUAUAACUAUACUUUGGAUUUUUUAGUAGCUAUAUCCUUUAACUAAUAAUAAUUUUUUUAAAAAGUCCUUUUUUUCGUACUUCGACUCCAAAAAUUUCAAUUAUUUUGGCUAACUUCGAAAAUCGGAGAGUAAAAUUUUUUUACUUAUGAUUCAAACUCCCGGAAAAAAUUAGUUUGGUCCAAUACUCAGGCGAAUGUUAUACAGUGUAAUCAGUGUCGAUAUUUGGUACUAAAUUUUUGUCUUUCCAGAAAUUUUUUUAGUUUUUUAGAAAAUUGGAGAUUUUUAGUUUACCAAAAAUGUUGGCAACUGUGUAAUUUCUCCAAAAAAAAAAAACAUUUGACUCUCAAAAGUAAGGAAAAUAGGUAUAUUGUAUUCAUACUUUUGUGCGCCACUGUAGGUGGAUGUGGAACAUGUAGGUGUUUAUAUGAAAACUUGUGAAACACUAUGUGGAUAUGUAUAUGUUUAUUUUAAUGGGACCAAGUAUUGUAGUGAACGCUGAAAGACAUUACAAUUUUACAAUUUCACGAAAAGCAAAUGGAAAACCUACAGAAAGCAGUGAGAAUAAAAAUAGUUUUAAAGAAAUGUAUAAAAAUUGAUAUAAAGACAUAUUUGCUAUAUACAGAGAUCCAUAUGGGUGAAGUUAAGAAAAUAACAAGAAAUACAUACAUAACAUACACAUAAGAAAAAUACGAGUAGGUGUAUGAUUAAAAAACAAUAGUUUCGUAUAAAUAUAUGUACUUUAAUCACAUAAGAAUUGAAUGUGAGAACCGUUAAUAGUUGCAACAUACACACAUACACUCUCUUUGACAGGUUAAUUGACUAAAAUCGAAAAAAUGUUGCACUUCUAACUGUUUGAAGGAAUUUAAUAUGUGUCGAAAACCAGAAAUACCACAACAAAAACAAA